rnacentral:rRNA from 1 species
UACGAAGGGGGCUAGCGUUGUUCGGAAUUACUGGGCGUAAAGCGCACGUAGGCGGAUAUUUAAGUCAGGGGUGAAAUCCCAGAGCUCAACUCUGGAACUGCCUUUGAUACUGGGUAUCUUGAGUAUGGAAGAGGUGAGUGGAAUUCCGAGUGAUAGAGGUGAAAUUCGUAGAUAUUCGGAGGAACACCAGUGGCGAAGGCGGCUCACUGGUCCAUAACUGACGCUGAGGUGCGAAAGCGUGGGGAGCAAACAGG